GACGAACGCUGGCGGCGUGCUUAAUACAUGCAAGUCUAAGGGGCUUGCACCCUUCGGGGUGUAAGUCACUGGCGCACGGGUGAGUAACACGUAAGUCAUCUGCCCUUGAGUCGGGCAUAACACCGGGAAACCGGUGCUAAUUCUCGAUGAUAUCGAAAGAUCAAAGUCUUCGGGUGCUCAAGGAUGAGCUUGCGUCUGAUUAGCUAGUUGGCGGGGUAAAAGCCCACCAAGGCGACGAUCAGUAGCCGGUCUGAGAGGAUGAUCGGCCACAUUGGGGACUGAGACACGGCCCAGACUCUACGGGGAGGCAGCAGUAAGGAAUAUUGCGCAAUGGAGGAAACUCUGACGCAGCAACGCCGCGUGCAGGAAGAAGGCCCUUUGGGUCGUAAACUGCUGUAGCAGGGGAAUAACGGUCUCCCACGGGGAGACGUGAAGGUACCCUGAAAGUAAGCUCCGGCUAACUACGUGCCAGCAGCCGCGGUAAUACGUAGGGAGCAAGCUGUCCGGAUUCACUGGGUGUAAAGGGUGCGUAGGCGGGAGAGUAAGUCAGUGGUGAAAUCUCACAGCUCAACUGUGAAACUGCCGUUGAUACUGCUUUCUUGAGUUCGGGAGAGGUUGAUGGAAUUCCAGGUGUAGUGGUGAAAUGCGUAGAUAUCUGGAAGAACACCAGUGGCGAAGGCGGUCAACUGGCCCGAAACUGACGCUGAGGCACGAAAGCGU
rnacentral:rRNA from 1 species